GGUAGUGGGGCCUGGAGACUGGUGCAGUGUAUCUGACCUUUACAGCUUGAAUGUGACUUCUGUGUUUGUUAGUUAACCCAGCCUGGUGAUUCAUCCAGAUUUUGUAGUCUGGCAUUUUCCUACCCAGUUCUAGUUUCCUUGGGUCUUUUGGCAUGGAACCUGAAGGGACUGAAGAAAUCACGGUGUUUUCAGGUCUGAAAAGAACACCUGAAAGUACCAAAGCCAUCUUGCCAUGAGCAGCCUGAGAAUGGAGACGAUGACUGAGGGUGGCAGAGCAGAAAGAUGGUAAGAGCCUGCAUCUGUAAUAACUGGGCUGGCCACUGAAGCUGCUUACCCAACCCUCUCCCCCUUGGUAAGUACAGUUAUCCCAAUGAAUGAAUUCUGAAAAAUUGUUUAAGGGUGUUUAAAUCUGGUUUUUAUGGCUUGAAGCCAAAAGCGUUCUAGCUAAAAUAACUUGCCAUGUAGUAAAUGUUUAUUAAACAUUUUUAAUAAACAUUAAUGUACAUUAAACAUAACUUGAUUUUAAAGUGGUGGUCUUAGAAAUCAAAGGGUGUGUCCCUUGUGAGUCUGUCAUGCAAUAGGAUUUGGAACAUGAAAUACAGUAUUCUUAUGGUCAUCCCCUAUAAGCCCACGCUUAUUUUGUU
rnacentral:lncRNA from 1 species